rnacentral:rRNA from 1 species
UGAGUAACCUGCCCUUCACUCUGGGAUAACUCCGGGAAACCGGGGCUAAUACUGGAUAUUGACUCGAACAGGCAUCUGUUUCGGGUGGAAAGAUUUAUUGGUGGAGGAUGGACUCGCGGCCUAUCAGCUUGUUGGUGAGGUAAUGGCUCACCAAGGCGACGACGGGUAGCCGGCCUGAGAGGGCGAUCGGCCACACUGGGACUGAGACACGGCCCAGACUCCUACGGGAGCA